ACUAAGGCCCAAUUGUUUUCCUUAAAUAUACCCCAAACUCUCUGCCUCAAAAAAUGAAGAAACCCUAGAUGCCAUCACAUCUCUCCAAAAAUGAAUAAUGUCGUUCUCUUUGUUCUUCAUACAGUUACAUAACCUGUUCGUUGCAAGUGUGAAUGAAAUUUUAACCUAGUCUUCAGAUCCAAUUAGUGGCACCAUAGUGAGGAAUAGAAAAUAGCUUCCGAGAUCGCUCAUCUUCUAUUUCCAGGCUUAUACCGAAGGAAAGGUCGUCGUGUUUGCUCGAGUAGCUGGGCACAUAAAAUAUUAAUAUGCCAGUGUAUAUCAUCUUAAAACUUAGCUGAUAGAAGUGAGCUUGAUUAUUAUUUUUGAGUUUUUCCUAUAUCUCCCUAGAUUAGGUAAUGUAAAACUUUUCUUGGUUUGGUUUGUGUUUUCUAGAUCUCUAGUCUAAUAAUUUAUCAUUGUAGUGUUAGUAUAUGAUUUUAUAGAUAACAUACUGUAGUGCCAUCACCCUAUGUGACUUUAAAAUUUGAGUAAUUUAGAACAAUUAUAUCAUGUCAGAGUGUAAUUUAGAGCAAUCUUUGCA